AUCCACCUGCAGAGUACAGAGCGCAGGAAAACAGGGUGCCAUACAUGUAGUGAUGGAGCCAGAUGACCCGAUGCCCAGAGAGUAGUGUCCAGCACAGCCCAACUGGGGGCUAUACAAUGGAGACCGGAUAUUAUUCCUCGCUUCUAAAAGGUAUGGUGUUAUGUUUGUCAAUGGUAACCUAUUCAAUACAGGAAGCAUGACAAUGCACAACAUUUUCA